rnacentral:piRNA from 1 species
UAGAAGUUUCUUCUUUACUUUCUAGGUAGU